UUACCUGAAAUUUGUAUGGACUUGGAACAGCGCCCCUAGCGGCAAACAUAGGCAAACGUUCCAACUCCCUACAAAUUUGAGUUA
rnacentral:pre_miRNA from 1 species